CCUACGGGAGGCAGCAGUGGGGAAUAUUGCACAAUGGGCGAAAGCCUGAUGCAGCAACGCCGCGUGAGCGAUGAAGGCCUUCGGGUCGUAAAGCUCUGUCCUCAAGGAAGAUAAUGACGGUACUUGAGGAGGAAGCCCCGGCUAACUACGUGCCAGCAGCCGCGGUAAUACGUAGGGGGCUAGCGUUAUCCGGAGUUACUGGGCGUAAAGGGUGCGUAGGUGGUUUCUUAAGUCAGAGGUGAAAGGCUAGGGCUCAACCGUAGUAAGCCUUUGAAACUGGGGAACUUGAGUGCAGGAGAGGAGAGUGGAAUUCCUAGUGUAGCGGUGAAAUGCGUAGAUAUUAGGAGGAACACCAGUUGCGAAGGCGGCUCUCUGGACUGUAACUGACACUGAGGCACGAAAGCGUGGGGAGCAAACAGGAUUAGAUACCCCAGUAGUC
rnacentral:rRNA from 1 species